rnacentral:rRNA from 1 species
GAUGAACGCUGGCGGCGUGCCUAAUACAUGCAAGUCGAGCGAACAGACGAGGAGCUUGCUCCUCUGACGUUAGCGGCGGACGGGUGAGUAACACGUUGAUAACCUACCUAUAAGACUGGGAUAACUUCGGGAAACCGGAGCUAAUACCGGAUAAUAUAUUGAACCGCAUGGUUCAAUAGUGAAAGACGGUUUUGCUGUCACUUAUAGAUGGAUCCGCGCCGCAUUAGCUAGUUGGUAAGGUAACGGCUUACCAAGGCAACGAUGCGUAGCCGACCUGAGAGGGUGAUCGGCCACCCUGGAACUGAGACACGGUCCAGACUCCUACGGGAGGCAGCAGUAGGGAAUCUUCCGCAAUGGGCGAAAGCCUGACGGAGCAACGCCGCGUGAGUGAUGAAGGUCUUCGGAUCGUAAAACUCUGUUAUUAGGGAAGAACAAAUGUGUAAGUAACUAUGCACGUCUUGACGGUACCUAAUCAGAAAGCCACGGCUAACUACGUG